AACGAACGCUGGCGGCAGGCUUAACACAUGCAAGUCGAGCGCACCGCAAGGUGAGCGGCAGACGGGUGAGCAACGCGUGGGAAUCUACCCAACCCUACGGAAUAACCCAGGGAAACUUGGACUAAUACCGUAUACGCCCUUUUGGGGAAAGAUUUAUCGGGGAUGGAUGAGCCCGCGUUGGAUUAGCUAGUUGGUGGGGUAAAGGCCUACCAAGGCGACGAUCCAUAGCUGGUCUGAGAGGAUGAUCAGCCACAUUGGGACUGAGACACGGCCCAAACUCCUACGGGAGGCAGCAGUGGGGAAUAUUGGACAAUGGGCGCAAGCCUGAUCCAGCCAUGCCGCGUGAGUGAUGAAGGCCUUAGGGUUGUAAAGCUCUUUCAGUAGGGAAGAUAAUGACGGUACCUACAGAAGAAGCCCCGGCUAACUUCGUG
rnacentral:rRNA from 1 species